UACAGAGGGUGCGAGCGUUGUCCGGAAUCACUGGGCGUAAAGGCGCGUAGGUGGUGGCUUAAGCGUGCGGUGAAAGCUCGGAGCUCAACUCCGAGUCGGCCGUGCGAACUGGGCUCACUGGAGCAUAGUAGAGGCAGGUGGAAUUCCGGGUGUAGCGGUGGAAUGCGUAGAGAUCCGGAAGAACACCGGUGGCGAAGGCGGCCUGCUGGCGUAUGGCUGACACUGAGGCGCGACAGCGUGGGGAGCAAACAGG
rnacentral:rRNA from 1 species